rnacentral:rRNA from 1 species
UACGAAGGGGGCUAGCGUUGCUCGGAAUUACUGGGCGUAAAGGGCGCGUAGGCGGCACUGUUAGUCAGGCGUGAAAGUCCCGGGCUCAACCUGGGAACUGCGCUUGAUACGGCAGAGCUAGAGGAUGGAAGAGGGUCGCGGAAUUCCCAGUGUAGAGGUGAAAUUCGUAGAUAUUGGGAAGAACACCGGUGGCGAAGGCGGCGACCUGGUCCAUUACUGACGCUGAGGCGCGACAGCGUGGGGAGCAAACAGG